GGAAUUGACGGGGAGCACUACAACGGGUGGAGCCUGCGGUUUAAUUGGAUUCCAACGCCGGAAAUCUUACCGGGACCGACAGCAAUAUGAAGGCCAGGCUGAAGACUUUGCCGGAUUAGCUGAGAGGUGGUGCAUGGCCGUCGUCAGUUCGUACUGUGAAGCAUCCUGUUAAGUCAGGCAACGAGCGAGACCCACGCCCACAGUUGCCAGCGUACUCUCCGGAGUGACGGGUACACUGUGGGACCGCCGCUGCUAAAGCGGAGGAAGGAAUGGGCAACGGUAGGUCAGUAUGCCCCGAAUAUCCCGGGCUACACGCGAGCUACAAUGGUUGGUACAAUGGGUAUCUACCCCGAAAGGGGACGGGAAUCUCCUAAAACCAAUCUUAGUUCGGAUUGAGGGCUGCAACUCGCCCUCAUGAAGCUGGAAUCCGUAGUAAUCGCGUUUCAACAGAACGCGGUGAAUACGUCCCUGCUCCUU
rnacentral:rRNA from 1 species